rnacentral:piRNA from 1 species
UCCCUGCUAGAAGCGUGACGCGGUAGGU